rnacentral:tRNA from 1 species
GCCGGCGUGGCUCAGCUAGAAAAAUUCCAUUUCUAAAUUGAAUUUUUGGCUAAGUAGAGCGAAUGGCUGUUAACCAUUUGGUCGUAGGUUCGAGUCCUACCGCCGGCG